ensembl:lncRNA
GGGGGGAGGGAGGCUGGGAAGUGAAUCAAGUUUCCUAUCGUCAAUUCUUGCUUAUCUGCCUGGGGCCCUGGGCAGCCUGGUCUAGAAUUAAAUGUGCAGGUUGGUGGCCCUGCCUGUGGCAGGGAGGUUGGAACCUGAUGAUCCUUGAGGUCCCUUUCAACCCAAGCCAUUCUAUGAUUCUGUGAUUAGGACGAGAACUUAAUAUUCUUCAUUUAAAGAAAGUAUGGAACUGAGGACAAAGAUGGUUUUGUAUUGUUCCUUUCCGUUCCUCCUUUUGGAAGACUCGUGUUCCCUACUAGACCUUCAGCCACUUCUUGGUCUGGGGCUGCUCCUUCACCCUACCUAGAGGCCUAAGCUGCCUAAAGUUGUUUCACUUGUGGCGAUGGAAGGGGACAUGCCAUGGGGAGUGUGUUCAGAAACACACCGGGCCAAAUCCAUUUGCCUUUCUCUCAGGAGAAUUUCAAUUACAUUCAGUGAAACUAAGUGCAAAAAUAAACUGAACAAUCUGUGGCCUAAUAUAUCUUCCUACUGGCACCAAAAUGUAAACAGAAAAGCUUUUAGACUUUUUUUUAACUUGCAUUUCCUGACUUUGGACUUUCAACUUCAUUUCUGCAUGUCCAUGCUGAAUUAAUUACAGCCUAUUUCAUGAUAUAUCCUUGGAAAGAAAGAAUAUAAAACAUUAAUAAGCUUCUAACGUACCCAUGUGGGAAAGUACCUCAUGUACACCACAACGCAGCAUCAGUCUGCUGCAUCUAUUUCUGUAUGCUGGAUGAAAAAGAGUACUAUUUACUGAGUCACGAUGAGCAUACUCUGACAAACUUUCUUUCUUAAACUCAAAAAAACUGAUAAAGAUUAAUACAUUACAGAAAACGUCUUGCUGAAAAGUAAGCUGUAACCAUACAAAUUUCUGUGCAUUAUUCAGGAAUGUAAAUAAUAUGAUGUGUUGAAAUGAUGCAGUAAUCUCAAAUAAUGCUUCUUUUCUGAAACUCUAAAGAGUUGAAGGAAUUCAAGUAAACUUGAAAAAAAAAAACAACCCACAAAACAAGGCAAAAGCUCUGAUAGACUUUAUGACACCAAGCAGUGUGGUGAGGCCAACACUAUGCGGCCCAAGGAAUGGGAUGCCAUCUAGAGGGACCCAGACAGGCUCAAGCAGUAGGCCCAGGAGACCAUCAUGAGGCUGAACAAAUCCAAGUGCUAAGUCUUGCACCUGAGUUGUGGCAACCCACACUGUCAAUAUAAGGACACUGGAGGAUGUAAGGGUAAAGCAGAGCCCUGCCAAAAGGAUUUGGGGAUAUUUGGAUGGCAAGCUGGAUAUGAACUAGCAGUGUGUCCUUGCAGCCCAGAAAGCCAACCAUAUCCUGGGCUGCACCAAAAGAAGCAUAGUCAGCAGUGUGAGGGAGGUGAUCCUGCCCCUCUACCACCUGGGCCUGGUGAGGCCUUGCCUGGAGUACUGUGUCCAGAUGUGGAGUCCUCAGUACAGGAGUGACAUGGACCUGUUGGAGCAAGUCCAGAGGAGGGCCACAAAAAUGAUCCAAGGGAUGGAACACCUCUCCUAAAAGGACAGACAGAGAGAGUUGGAGCUGUUCAGCCUGGAGAAGGCUCCAGG